CCCUUAGAUGUUCUGGGCUGCACGCGCGCUACACUGAUGCGUUCAACGAGUUUUUAGCUUAUCUGAUAAGAUUGGCUAAUCUUCUGAAAACGCAUCGUGAUGGGGAUAGAUUAUUGUAAUUAUUAAUCUUCAACGAGGAAUUCCUAGUAGGUGUGAAUCAUCAGUUCACGCCGAUUACGUCCCUGCCCUUUGUACACACCGCCCGUCGCUGCCCGGAACUGAGCCGUUUCGAGAAGACUGAGGAUUGCUGACUUGAGGCCUUCACGGGCUUCUAGUCGGUGAAAAUCAAUUUAAUCGCAGCGGCUUGAACCGGGCAAAAGUCGUAACA
rnacentral:rRNA from 1 species